CUAGUUUAUACCAUAAAAACUAUCAUAUUGUCAUUAUGCUUAAUAUUAUUUGGCAUAUUCUAUUAUAUUUAGUAUCAGCCAAGUACGUGGUAUAGCACUGAAGAUAAAACCUGUUUGGAUCUCAUACUUCUGUUUAAUUCUGCCUGCUUUGAGGGGAUUGUAGUUUUCGUCAUUACCAAGCUGUUAAUAAUGAAGAAAUGCUCAUUAUUAAUAGCACAAUAUAAAAUAAAUGGCACUGAGUAUUAUGAGGGGGGGAAGGAAUGACACUGACAGCUUUUUCUUUAUUACCUGCAGAGGAGAAGAAAGUAAAGAGCACUAAAGUGGAAGCAAAAGUUAAAAAGGAAGUGAAGGAUGGAAAAGGAGAAGCAAAGAUGGCAGAGAAGGUCAAGCAGGCAGAGACAAAACCAACAGAAACUGGGCUAAUAAAGGCCAAAACGAAAGUUAAGGAGGAGAAAGCUCUUCAGACUGUAACUAAAUCGGACAAGAAAGGUGCAGGACAUAAGGAAUUGGUACCACCUCGUCUUCUUCUGGAACACAGUCCAAGAAAGAAACCAGCAGCUAUUGAAGAAGAAAAGUCUACUGUGGUACCUAGAGAAGGGAAAAGUAAGUUUGGGUUUUUUAUUUUUCCUUCAUCUUCAUGUUAGUUUUAUGCAAGGGACAGGAGUAUAUUUGCUUCUUGGAUUUGAAAAUAUUCCUAUACCUUAAAUAUGUUUCAGUUAAAGAAAAGACUCUUGUUUAAGUGCUUAUGGUUCUAUCUUCUGUAAGAUAAUAAAAC
rnacentral:lncRNA from 1 species